CCCCCAGGGACCCUGUCCUCAGAGCUGUCUGACCGUUAACCCCUAACUAUUGUUUGCUCAUGCCGUUGGUUCUCAGCCCCAGACUGACGUGUGUUCCUGCACACCCUCCUCAUCCUCAUCAGAUUAGGACUUCAGGAGGAAGAGGAAAAGCAGGAAGUCCAAACAUAGCCCCACGACCCUCGAACAAUGCUCAGUGCCUCAUGUCUGCUCCACCUCGCUGUAACGUCUUUCUUUCAAACGGAACCAAUAACUCGUUCUUUGGAAUCAAGCCAUACACCCCAGGACAGCUCCCCGCUCCACCACGGCUCACCGAAAGAAGCCCCCUCCAGGCGACCUCCACCCACCAUGCCCCCCGACUGAAGAGGGCCUGCUCUUCGUCUGAGUGGACUUCAGAAGCCAUGUCGAACAGAUCCGGAGGAAAACCUCCCUGAUGAUCCCCGACUGGAUAACAGGAGCAGCUUGAGACUCUGACAAUGACCUGAGGUCAGCCACCUGAGGAACCAGAGCUCAACCACAGACUACAGACCUGAGAACCAGAGCUCGACCAGACUACAGACCUGAGGAACCAGAGUCCACCACAGACUACAGACCUGAGGAACCAGAGUCCACCACAGACCUGAGGAACCAGAGUCCACCACAGACUACAGACCUGAGGAACCAGAG
ensembl:lncRNA